rnacentral:rRNA from 1 species
AUGAACGCUAGCGGAGUGCCUUAAGCAUGCAAGUGGAAUGAUUGUAGCAAUACAGUCAUCGCAGACGGGUGAGUACAGCAUAGGAAUCUACCCUUUGGUGGGGAAUAACACCGCGAAAGCGGUGGUAAUACCGCAUAAUAUCGAAAGAUAAAAGGCCAUAACUGGUCGCCGAUUGAGGAGCCUAUGUCCUAUCAGCUUGUUGGUGGGGUAAAAGCCUACCAAGGCUAUGACGGGUAGCUGGACUGAGAGGUUGGUCAGCCACAAUAGCACUGAGACACGGGCUAUACAUCUACGGAUGGCAGCAACUGGGAAUCUUGCGCAAUGGACGAAAGUCUGACGCAGCGACUCCGCGUGGAGGAUGACGGCCUUAGGGUUGUAAACUCCUUUUGACUGGGAAGCCCUGAUAGUAAUAUCGGGGGACGGUACCAGUAGAAUAAGCAUCUGCUAACCACGU